AACCUUCACAUAAUGCACAGUUACUGUAAAAUCUUUUACAUUGCCAACUAAUCAUAUUCAUCCUGAUAUGACUUUUAAGAUAGUUAUUAUAAAAAUUAUCAAACAUAUCAUACAUGACUUUUGUAAUUGGAUUACCGUUAUCAGUGUGCAUGUAUAAUUCAUUCUGUAUAUGUUUAAGCAAAAAUAUUUUAAGGCUUCCAAAUAACGAGAAAUACUUUUUUUUAUAACCUUGUAGAGAUGUGUUUAAGAUUCAAACCAAACUUUAGCGUAAGAUUUUCCUAUGAGUAGCAUGAAGAGGGAUCAGGUACCUGUAAAAACAGACCAUUUGAUGCUUUGAUUCUAAUUUUGAAGGGGUCAUUAUUAUCCCUUAUAAUCUCAAAUGUUUCUGGUUGGCUAGGUGAGUCUGAAACUGAUAUAAUUUUGUUUCCACCCCCAUGAUUUUCCAGCCCAACAAAUUUCUUGUUGAACACUCUCAAGUUGAAGGAUGAGUCACUGAUCCUCCACAGCUGCAUAUUAUGAACACAUAAUUAGGCCAUGUGAAUAAGAUUCCUAAUUAAUCCACAUCAAAAGAAUGUGAUUCCUAAUAAAUGCAAUUGAAAUUACGUACGUACCUUGAAUGUUUCCCAACCAGAAGCAGAACCUCGGUUGGCUACAACAUCAGCUCCACCCCCAUUUUCAGAAGUGAGAUACUUGUUGAACUUUGUGGACUUAAGUUGCACUUGAGUUCCAUCCUGAAAUGACCAAAUAUCAAAAACUUGUCUAUUAACUGAAAAAGAAAAAUAAGGUACCAUAAUAUCAUUUCCCUAAUGGAUUCAACUUAACACUUGAACUUCUUAAUUUGAGGACUUGAAAAUUAUUUAUGCUAGUUGCUAAACAUUAUUUUACUCAAACAAAAAAGAAAGAAAGAAAAUGAUGCAUGGUGUUUUGUGGAAUGAUAAUUUGACUUCCAUUUAAGUAAAUGAAGUGAAUUUGUUUGGGGGUAAUAGUACCAAGAGGUCAUUGUUGACAAUUCCAUCAAAGAGAGAGGGUUCUUGCAUCCACCCUUCAACAACAAGCCAGUUUCCUAGAUUCACAGCUUUGUAUGGCAAAUUUUGAGGACAUGAGAGGCAUAUGUAACCGUUUUGGAUCAUCCAUCUGAGGCUCCAUUCGUUAAUCCUACAUUUGUAGGCCAAAUAGGCCCAUCCAAAAGUUGCACGAGAAUACACAUCCAAUUGUGCUUGGACAUACCUUUUGAGGUCUUCCUUAGACGCACCUUGUAUGCUCCACGCACCAGUCCACUCCCCUACAAACAAAACAGAAAAUUAUAAUGUCUUUCUCAGCACAUAUAUUGAUCCAAUAAAGCCUCUUAUUAAUUUAGUUAAGUUAGGGGAUAUAGAUUAAUAAGUCUCCUUUUCAUUCUCUUAUCUCUUCUUGUUGAGGAAUAUGGAGAGUACCCAAACAAAAGGAUUAGCAAGCUAAUGAUUAAGAAUGCUAAUGAAAUCGAAUAUUUAUAAAAACACAUCUCUUGCAUUUUUUUUUUUUUUUCAUUUGAGUCAUUUCUUCGUCAUCUUUUGACUAACUAUUCACACUUGAAUUUCCACACUUCUCUCUCAUGUUUUGGCACAAUAUAAUUAGUAAAAUAACAUUUGUGGUGCUGAUAGAACGAGAACAGUUUGUUCUAUUCUAUUUUCUUUGGUUUAUUAGUUAGUAAAGCUAAAAUGCACCAUACUUUUAACCUUAUCACUCUUCUAUUUUCCAUAUACCCUAAACAUAUAUAUAAUACAAUUAAUGUUUCUUUCCAUCUUUUAUAACAUGACGUCUAUCAAAUAUUGCUCAAGUGACUAUUUCUCGAUGUAAGGUAAAGUUCUUUUUUUUGGAAAAAAUAUCUUUCCUACACUGAAACCAAAUUAGUUAUUGUUCCAUAAAAAUAUGAAGGCCACUAAUAUAGGUUGGAUUUGGCUUUUACCUACAAAACUCAGAGCAUUUGAGGAAGAGACGACACUAAGAUCUGAGGCUCGUCCAUUUCUUAUGACGUCAAUAUUUUGUUGAACAUUCAUGCGGUUGAAAUCGCUUGAAAAAAGAUUAUAGUAAUGCACAUCAAUGACUACUCUGUCAAAGUCUUGCACAAAUGAGAGAAGCACUUUAGAAUCUGCAUCCAAUGGAUUUGACAUGAUCACAUAAGCACUUGAGUUGUGCUUUCUGACAGCAUCAUAAGCUUCCUUGUAAUACUUCUUAAGGCUCUCUAGAUUCACACCUCGUGGCCCACUCAUCAGCUCUAUGGCUCCUAAGUUUGGUCUGGUACCAUAUCUGUCAACAAAUUCAAGUAUAAAAAUAUCAAUUCUUUAACCAUAGCAGGUCAUAUAUCAUCAUGCUGAUAAAAAUAUUUUUCAAUUAUACUAGACCCAGCAUGAUGAAAAUAAUGCUCAAGUCCUAUUGAGAUAAAGUUCUCCAUAAAUACUCAGAAGAAAAUGAAAAGGUAAAAAAACUGAAUUUCUCCCGUAAGCUAAAAUCAACUUAUCACUUCAGCUUUUAGAGAAGCCAGAUAGAAGAACUUCUAUGAAGGACAGAGUGCAUAAGUUAAUUUUAACUUAUGGAAGAAGCUCAUUUCCUUUUACUUUCUGAUUUUCUUCUCCUAUAAGUGCUUAUAGAGAAGUUUAUCUAAACAAGACCUUAAGCUAAGAUUCUUGUAUAUAUAUUCAUUUCUCGGUAAAAUUAAUUCCCAUCUCAUGAAUCUCAGAGACUAUUUGAUUGGUGGAAUACACAUCCAGGAACUGUUUUGACAAUUCAAUGCAUAUUUAGAAACCAUAAAUAAUUUCUAUCAUAUGACUGACAUGACCAGACAUUAUCAUUCAAGUAAUUAUUUAACUAUUUACUAUGUUUAAACUUAAGACAUAUAUAUAUAUAUAUAUAUAUAUAUAUAUGAAGAGAACAUUCUUUAGAAGUGAAAAAACCUUUCUGCUAAGAAGUCUAUGACUUGGACUGUGUUUGGUAUGUAUGAAUCUCCCCAUUCUGUAUAUCCAUCUCUUGCGCCACUGUGGUCAUUUCCAUUCUGUGAACCUUCAGCUGCAUGCAAGUCUAUGAUCACAUUCAUCCCAUGGUUUCUGAAAGUUAUAGAGUAAAUACCCGGUAAAUAAUGAAACAUUUAUUGAAUGAAGCUCAAUUAAAGGUUGUACAAUGGUUACAUGUUACAACAUUAAACUUGCAGACUUACUGUGCCCAAAUGAAAGCAUUGUCCAAUGCUGCCAAUGAUCCUCCAACAAAAGGCUUAGGAGGAUUCGGAUCUUUAGCUAUCCACCAUCCAACAGGUAUUCUCACUGCAUUUAAGCCAUUUGCAGACAUGAAUCUGAAAUCAUCUUCGGUUAUGUAUGUAUUCCAGUGAUCCUACAAGGCCAGAUUAUAGCUUAAGCUAAGUAUGAAGAUAUAGUCUUAUGGAGUUCUAGCAAUCAAUUUUUGGCAAGUCCAUGAUGGUCAAUUUGUCAUUAAAAGUUUCUAAUAUUUCUCACCCUCAUGACUUGAGGAGCUCUAUCAGGACCAUAACCAUUAGUAAGUUGGUACUCUCCUUGUAAGGUGGUGUCUGGUACAAUAUUCAUACGAAAGACUGAUGGGUCACUUUCAUCCCAAUUUGUGCCUUCAUAAUCUGCAGUCACUAAUGUCUCCGAUCGAACCUUCACUAUACACAAUAUAAUAAGAAAAAAUUGGGGGCCUGAAGAAAUAUUGUUUCAACUAAUAAAUCUUUCUGAAACAAUUUCCGUUCCAAUUUUGUCCGAAGGUAAACAAAAUCAAAAUCCAUCUUAUUCACCAAAGAAAAAAUGUUAUUGUAAAAGGAUUGACAUUUUGAAGAAUUAAUGAGUUUGAUAAGUGUCCACUGUUACUGUAAAUUGUCAACUAGUCAUAAAUUAUUUUUAAUAUGACUUUUAAGGUAAUUAUUAUAAAAUUUUAAAAAACUUAUCAUAUGAUGGUUUAUAACUGGAUAACAAUAUAAAUUGUGUGUAUUGUUUAUUCUUUGUUUAUUUAAGCAAAAGUAUUAACCUUUUAGAGAUGUGUUUAAGAUUCAAAGUACAAUUCAGUGCAAGAUUUUACAAUAUGAAAAUAGUAUGAAGAUGUAGCAAAUACCUGUAAAAACCGACCAUUUGAUGCUUUGAUUCUAAUUUUGAAGGGGUCAUUAUUAUUCCUUAUAAUCUCAAAUGUUUCCGGUUGGCUAGGUGAGUCUGAAACUGAUAUAAUUUUGUUUCCACCCCCAUGAUUUUCCAG
rnacentral:lncRNA from 1 species